CCUGCCUCAUGCUGGGAUUAUAGGCAUGUGCCACCUUGCCUAUAUUUUGUAACUUUUUGAGUUGUUGAGUAGUCAGUGUGAAUGAACACACAUAUUUUAGUGUGCCUCAGAAUUACUGGGGAUACUGAUUAAACGUGUGAGUUCUGGACUUCUCUACUGCACAGGAGAUUCAAAGGUAUAAAAUAAGCUGGUGGAUUCUGUGGCUCAGCAGUUCAGACAGAGCAUGGAGGGAAUGGCUUAUCACUGCUUCACAGUGACUGGUGCUUCAGUUGGGAAGACCAAAAGGCUGAGGAUCACUUACAUAAAGGGGUCGGAGUCACCUGUAGGUUUCUUCACUGAUGUGUCAAAUGCCUAGGGUCAUAUUGGGCCUCUCUCUCCCUGUGUGUCAUACCUUAUUGCUCAAGUUUUCUCCAAGAUGGCCAUCUCAGGGUGGCCGAUGACAUCUUCCAUUAUUGCUCAGAGCCCCAAGAGUAACUAUGAAAGUUGUAUGGAUUUUUAAACACUUAUUUAUAAAAAUCAUAAGACUACUUUUUUGUCUGAUUUUCUAAAUUAUUGAGGUAUAAUGGUUAUACAAAAAAAACUACACAUAUUUAAUGUGUGUAAUCUGAUGAGUUUGAGCACACAUGGAUAUCUGUGAUAACUUUGUUACAGUUAAGGCAAUAAAUGUACUUAGUGCCUCCCUC